rnacentral:rRNA from 1 species
GAUGAACGCUGGCGGCGUGCCUAAUACAUGCCAGUCGAGCGAACGGACGAGAAGCUUGCUUCUCUGAUGUUAGCGGCGGACGGGUGAGUAACACGUGGAUAACCUACCUAUAAGACUGGGAUAACUUCGGGAAACCGGAGCUAAUACCGGAUAAUAUUUUGAACCGCAUGGUUCAAAAGUGAAAGACGUUCUUGCUGUCACUUAUAGAUGGAUCCGCGCUGCAUUAGCUAGUUGGUAAGGGAACGGCUUACCAAGGCAACGAUGCAUAGCCGACCUGAGAGGGUGAUCGGCCACACUGGAACUGAGACACGGUCCAGACUCCUACGGGAGGCAGCAGUAGGGAAUCUUCCGCAAUGGGCGAAAGCCUGACGGAGCAACGCCGCGUGAGUGAUGAAGGUCUUCGGAUCGUAAAACUCUGUUAUUAGGGAAGAACAUAUGUGUAAGUAACUGUGCACAUCUUGACGGUACCUAAUCAGAAAGCCACGGCUAACUACGUG